rnacentral:rRNA from 1 species
GCAUCUAAGCAUGAAGCCCCCCUCAAGAUGAGAUUUCCCAUAGCGUAAGCUAGUAAGAUCCCUGAAAGAUGAUCAGGUUGAUAGGUUCGAGGUGGAAGCAUGGUGACAUGUGGAGCUGACGAAUACUAAUAGAUCGAGGACUUAACCAU